rnacentral:rRNA from 1 species
UACGGGGGGAGCAAGCGUUGUUCGGAUUUACUGGGCGUAAGGGCGCGUAGGCGGUCAGCACAAGUCAGUUGUGAAAUCUCCGGGCUUAACUCGGAAAGGUCAACUGAUACUGCGCGGCUAGAGUGCAGAAGGGGCAACUGGAAUUCUCGGUGUAGCGGUGAAAUGCGUAGAUAUCGAGAGGAACACCUGCGGCGAAGGCGGGUUGCUGGGCUGACACUGACGCUGAACUGCGAAAGCUAGGGGAGCGAACGGG